CUGGGAUCAUGACUUAUGCCAGUUAGGAACCAAUCAGGGCAGGGAAUACACCUGAGGCUGAACAGACACAUCUGGCAUAGGAAUGGGGCACACAGUUUGCACUUGACGACUUACCAGCUGGGUAAUCCUUGGAAUGUGGCGUGACCUCUCAGAGUGCUCUAAUUUGUAAAGGGAGGUGAUCUUAUUUCUUUUCUUUUCUUUUUUUUUUUUUUGAGAUGGAGUCUUGCUCAGUCACCCAGGCUAGAGCGCAGUGGCGUGAUCUCGGCUCAUUGCAACCUCUGCUUCCUGGUUUCAAAUGAUUCUCCUGCCUCAGCCUCCCGAGUAGCUGGCAUUACAGAUAUGUCCUGCCAGGUGGCCAUGAACUAUGUGUCUCCGUUCCCACUGCUUUCAACCACAGUUCUUUGGAACUGGGAGGAUGUCAGAACACAGUCGAUAGGUGACUGGCCUUGAAGGGCUCUGUCCAGAUAGAAAAACUGGUCCAAUCAAGUCUCUCACUCAAGAAUUGAAAUGGGCAAGGCCUGGAAGCUCCUUAGGUUUGGGAAAGUUUUGGAGCCAUGGAUGAGCUGAUGAAGAAGCAGAGGUGACUCAUGCACAGGAAGAGGAUGGGAGGGGAGCAAACUUGGAGGGGCAGAGACUGGGGAGACUGCGGAGACAGUGAGGCCUCCAUCGAGGGUCAGCACCCACCCAGUGUGCAUUUGGUUCUGCCCUGUUCCUUCACUUGGGUCCCUGAGAGACCCCUGCAUCUUUAUUUUAAAGCAGAAACAAACAAACAAAAGCAGAAACAAUAACAACAAAAAACCCUCCCUUCCAC
rnacentral:lncRNA from 1 species